AACGAACGCUGGCGGCGCGCCUAAUACAUGCAAGUCGAGCGAGAAGACGUAGCAAUACGUUUGUAAGCGGCGAACGGGUGAGGAAUACAUGGGUAACCUACCCUCGAGUGGGGAAUAACUAGCCGAAAGGUUAGCUAAUACCGCGUACGCUCCUUGGACUUCGGUUCAGGGAGGAAAGCGAUACCGUGGGUAUCGCGCUCUUGGAUGGGCUCAUGUCCUAUCAGCUUGUUGGUGAGGUAACGGCUCACCAAGGCUUCGACGGGUAGCUGGUCUGAGAGGACGAUCAGCCACACUGGCACUGCGACACGGGCCAGACUCCUACGGGAGGCAGCAGUAAGGAAUAUUGCGCAAUGGGCGAAAGCCUGACGCAGCGACGCCGCGUGGGGGA
rnacentral:rRNA from 1 species